rnacentral:rRNA from 1 species
UACGUAGGGGGCGAGCGUUGUCCGGAGUUACUGGGCGUAAAGCGCACGCAGGCGGUCUGUUAAGUUUGGAGUGACAGUUGGUGGCUUAACUGCCAAAGUGCUUCGAAAACUGACAGACUUGAGGGCUUCAGAGGGACACGGAAUUCCGGGUGGAGUGGUGAAAUGCGUAGAGAUCCGGAGGAACACCAACGGCGAAAGCACUCUGCUGGGCCGACACUGACACUGAGAGACGAAAGCUAGGGGAGCGAAUGGG